rnacentral:rRNA from 1 species
AUUGAACGCUGGCGGCAGGCCUAACACAUGCAAGUCGAGCGAGCGGCGGACGGGUGAGUAAUGUAUGGGGACUGCUCGAUAGAGGGGGCUAACUACUGGAAACGGUAGCUAAUACCGCAUCCUAUCGGAUAACCCAUAUGGGAUUAGCUAGUUGGUGAGGUAAUGGCCCACCAAGGCGACGAUCCCUAGCUGGUCUGAGAGGAUGAACAGCAACAGUGGGACGGAGACAAGGCCCAGAGGCCUACGGAGGGGGCAGUGGGGAAUAUUGCACAAUGGGCGAAAGCCUGAUGCAGCGACGCCGCGUGGGGGAUGAAGGCUGUCGGGUUGUAAACCUCUGUCGCAAGCGAACGGGUAGGUGGAGAAGAAGCGCCGGCUAACUACGUGCCAGCAGCCGCGGUAAUUC